GACGAACGCUGGCGGCGUGCUUAACACAUGCAAGUCGAACGGAAAGGCCCUGCGUUUGUGGGGUGCUCGAGUGGCGAACGGGUGAGUAACACGUGAGUAACCUGCCCUAGACUUUGGGAUAACUUCAGGAAACUGGGGCUAAUACCGGAUAGGAGCUCCUGCUGCAUGGUGGGGGGUGGAAAGUCUCGGCGGGUGGGGCUGGACGGGCGGGUGAUCACCUAGUUGGUGGGGUAGUGGCUUACCAAGGGUUUGGCGGGUAGCCGGCCUGGGAGGGUGACCGGCGUCCUUGCGACUGCGAGACGGCGCAGUGUCCUACGUUAGACAGCGGGGGGAAAUCUUGCCCAGUGGUCGCGCGUCUGAUACAGAAGCGCCGCGUGCGGAAUGCCGUCCUUCGGGUUGAGAACCGCUUCAGCCUGUGACCAAGCGUGAGUGACGGUAAUGGGUAAAGAAGCACCGGCUAACUACGUG
rnacentral:rRNA from 1 species